GUGCCUAAUACAUGUUUAGUCGAACGCUUUGUCUUUAAUUGAUCUGACGAGCUUGCUCUGANUUGAUUUUAUCUGUUUNAGAGUGGCGAACGGGUGAGUAACACGUGGGUAACCUACCUCUUAGCAGGGGAUAACAUUUGGAAACAAGUGCUAAUACCGUAUAAUACCAACAACCGCAUGGUUGUUGGUUGAAAGAUGGUUCUGCUAUCACUAAGAGAUGGACCCGCGGUGCAUUAGCUAGUUGGUAAGGUAACGGCUUACCAAGGCAAUGAUGCAUAGCCGAGUUGAGAGACUGAUCGGCCACAAUGGGACUGAGACACGGCCCAUACUCCUACGGGAGGCAGCAGUAGGGAAUCUUCCACAAUGGGCGCAAGCCUGAUGGANCAACGCCGCGUGUGUGAUGAAGGGUUUCGGCUCGUAAAACACUGUUAUAAGAGAAGAACGGCACUGAGAGUAACUGUUCAGUGUGUGACGGUAUCUUACCAGAAAGGAACGGCUAAAUACGUGCCAGCAGCCGCGGUAAUACCGUAUGUUCCAAGCGUUAUCCGGAUUUAUUGGGCGUAAAGCGAAGCGCAGACGGUUAUUUAAGUCUGAAGUGAAAGCCCUCAGCUCAACUGAGGAAUGGCUUUGGAAACUGGAUGACUUGAGUGCAGUAGAGGAAAGUGGAACUCCAUGUGUANCGGUGAAAAUGCCUNUNAUNUAUGGAAGAACACCAUGGCGAAGGCGGCUUUCUGGACUGUAACUGACNUUGAAGG
rnacentral:rRNA from 1 species